AUACGUAGGAUGCAAGCGUUAUCCGGAUUUAUUGGGUUUAAAGGGUGCGUAGGCUGUUCGGAAAGUCAGGGGUGAAAGCCCGGCGCCUAACGCCGGAACUGCCUUUGAUACUUCCGAGCUGGAAUACGGAUGCCGUGGGAGGAAUGAGUAGUGUAGCGGUGAAAUGCAUAGAUAUUACUCAGAACACCGAUUGCGAAGGCAUCUCACGAAUCCGUCAUUGACGCUGAGGCACGAAAGCGUGGGGAUCAAACAGGAUUAGAUACCCUGGUAGUCCACGCAGUAAACGAUGAUGACUAACCGUCGGCGAUACACAGUCGGUGGCCAAGCGAAAGCGAUAAGUCAUCCACCUGGGGAGUACGUUCGCAAGAAUGAAACUCAAAGGAAUUGACGGGG
rnacentral:rRNA from 1 species